CAAUAGCGUAUAUUAAUGUUGUUGCAGUUAAAAAGCUCGUAGUUGAAUUUCUGGUUAAAAUAUUAGCUGGCCUCGGUCGUUAAUAUUUUAAUCAUCCGUUAGAGAACUAUAGCCGUCCUUAAUUGGUCACUAUAGAGAUCUAACAUUUUACUUUGAAAAAUUAGAGUGUUCAAGGCAGGCAAUCGUCAUGAAUACUAUAGCAUGGAAUAAUGGAAUAGGACUUUGGUUCAUUUUAUUGGUUAUUGAACCUUAGUAAUGAUUAACAGGGACAGUUGGGGGCAUUAGUAUUUAAUUGUCAGAGGUGAAAUUCUUGGAUUUAUGAAAGACGAACUUCUGCGAAAGCAUUUGCCAAGGAUGUUUUCAUUAAUCAAGAACGAAAGUUGGGGGCUCGAAGAUGAUCAGAUACCAU
rnacentral:rRNA from 1 species